GAUGAACGCUGGCGGCGUGCUUAACACAUGCAAGUCGAACGGAAAGGCCAGUGCUUGCACUGGUGCUCGAGUGGCGAACGGGUGAGUAACACGUGAGUGAUCUGCCUUGCACUUUGGGAUAAGCCUGGGAAACUGGGUCUAAUACCGGAUAGGACCAUGCUUUAGAUGGUGUGGUGGAAAGUUUUUUCGGUGUGGGAUGAGCUUGCGGCCUAUCAGCUUGUUGGUGGGGUAAUGGCCUACCAAGGCGUCGACGGGUAGCCGGCCUGAGAGGGUGUACGGCCACAUUGGGAUUGAGAUACGGCCCAGACUCCUACGGGAGGCAGCAGUGGGGAAUAUUGCACAAUGGGCGCAAGCCUGAUGCAGCGACGCCGCGUGGGGGAUGACGGCCUUCGGGUUGUAAACUCCUUUCGCAACUGACGAAGCUUUUGUGUGACGGUAGGUUGAGAAGAAGCACCGGCUAACUACGUGCCAGCAGCCGCGGUAAUACGUAGGGUGCGAGCGUUGUCCGGAAUUACUGGGCGUAAAGAGCUCGUAGGUGGUUUGUCGCGUCGUGUGUGAAAUUCCGGGGCUUAACUUCGGGGUUGCAUACGAUACGGGCAUAACUUGAGUGCUGUAGGGGAGACUGGAAUUCCUGGUGUAGCGGUGAAAUGCGCAGAUAUCACGAGGAACACCGAUGGCGAAGGCAGGUCUCUGGGCAGUAACUGACGCUGAGGAGCGAAAGCAUGGGGAGCGAACAGG
rnacentral:rRNA from 1 species